rnacentral:rRNA from 1 species
AGCAGCCGCGGUAAUUCCAGCUCCAAUAGCGUAUAUUAAAGUUGUUGCAGUUAAAAAGCUCGUAGUUGAAUUUCGGGAUCAGUACGCUGGUCAUGCCUUUGGUAUGCACUGGUGUCACUGGUUUCUCCCUUCUGAAGAACCGUGAUGUCAUUAAUUUGGUGUCGCGGGGAAUCAGGACUGUUACUUUGAAAAAAUUAGAGUGUUUAAAGCAGGCUCACGCUUGAAUACAUUAGCAUGGAAUAAUGAAAUAGGACGUUUGACCCUAUUUUGUUGGUUUCUAGGAUCGACGUAAUGAUUAAUAGGGAUAGUUGGGGGCAUUAGUAUUCAAUUGUCAGAGGUGAAAUUCUUGGAUUUAUUGAAGACUAACUACCGCGAAAGCAUUUGCCAAGGAUGUUUUCAUUAAUCAAGAACGAAAGUUAGGGGAUCGAAGACGAUCAGAUACCGUCGUAGUCUUAACCAUAAACUAUGCCGACUAGGGAUCGGAUGAUGUUAAUUUUAUAAUGACUC